rnacentral:lncRNA from 1 species
ACAGACACCUGUUUGGAAAAAUGAAAGUGAAAUAGAUAUAUCGACAGCAAAUUGUUUUAAUAGGAACAGCAAGCAAAGCACGGGCUGGGGAAGCUUUAUCUGAAAGCAACGUAGUAGCGACCGCUGAUGAUCGGCUCCCAGGGACUGUAUGGACCCAGAAAUUAAUUUGUUCCUGAGACCUGGAGAAACCAUGAAUGGUGAAAAAUAUUUGUGGGAUAUGCAUAUUAAUGGUUACAAAUAUUGUAUCCAGCACCAAAAUCCCAGACACAAAAUACUGUAACCUAUUUGCAAAGGGACCCUUCGAUCCAGUUUCAUUUGACCUGUUUAUUAGAAAGACAUACAAACUUCACAAAGUCAAAGAAGGAUUUUACAAGGUCUUCUGGGAGGAGCAGAUUAAAUGAGAAAAAGUAUUCUGCUGCAGGAGACUCCAGGCUCUGGUCAAGGACAAAAAGAUGACGUUAUCCCCUGGAUGUGAGGAAGGAGAACCUACCAGAUCCUUGCUGUAUCUCUGCUGAGCCUGGAAGCUGCUGCAGCCAGAGAGGUUUGACACCGCUGUGGCAUCACAGGGCUGGAGGUCAUUUGGGGCAAGCAGAAGGCCCCGGGAUGCACUGUGUGCGAAUGGUACCCAGUGUACAUCUGUAGUUUUCCUGGACUUCUGUCGAUGCUUGCCAAUAGACUAGGGUCUAAAUCCACCCUUAUUUCGCAUAGAUCCUGGACUCUUUUUCCAAUCUCUCUCUUAAAUAUCUUUGCAUGAUGCUGCAUUGUGUCAUGUAGAAAAACAUUCAGAGCUUGGGUUUCCCAUCUGUAAAAUGGGGGCAAUAUUUCCUGUGUCCCAGCCGUUGCUGAGGUUAUCAGGCUUCUGGGACGAGAAUCCUUUUAUUGCCUGUUUCUGUAUUCUCUGGUUCAACGAGACCCUGAUCUCAGUUGAAGCCUGUAAGUAUCACUGAAAUAUAAAUAGAUAAUAAUAAAAAGACGAUCUUGACACA